GACGAACGCUGGCGGCGUGCUUAACACAUGCAAGUCGAACGGAAAGGCCCUGCUUGCAGGGUACUCGAGUGGCGAACGGGUGAGUAACACGUGGGUGAUCUGCCCUGCACUUCGGGAUAAGCUUGGGAAACUGGGUCUAAUACCGGAUAGGAGCCAUCUUUAGUGUGGUGGUUGGAAAGUUUUUUCGGUGUAGGAUGAGCUCGCGGCCUAUCAGCUUGUUGGUGGGGUAAUGGCCUACCAAGGCGGCGACGGGUAGCCGGCCUGAGAGGGUGUACGGCCACAUUGGGACUGAGAGACGGCCCAGACUCCUGCGGGAGGCAGCAGUGGGGAAUAUUGCACAAUGGGCGCAAGCCUGAUGCAGCGAGGCCGCGUGGGGGAUGAAGGCCUUCGGGUUGUAAACUCCUGUCGCUAGGGACGAAGCUUUUUUGUGACGGUACCUAGAGAAGAAGCACCGGCUAACUACGUG
rnacentral:rRNA from 1 species